rnacentral:rRNA from 1 species
AGCGCAACCCGCGUUUGUGUGUUUAUAGUGUGUCACACAAUACCGCCGGUAUUAAGCCGGAGGAAGGUGCGGAUGACGUCAAGUCAGCAUGACCUUUAUAUCCAGGGCUACACACACGCUACAAUGGACAGUAACAACAGGUUGCCAAGCCGCGAGGCGGAGCCAAUCCUCUAAAGCUAGUCCUCAGUUCAGAUUGCAGGCUGCAACUCGCCUGCAUGAAGUUGGAGUUGCUAGUAACCGCAGGUCAGCUAUACUGCGGUGAAUACGUUCCCGGGGAUU